rnacentral:rRNA from 1 species
AACGCUAGCUACAGGCUUAACACAUGCAAGUCGAGGGGCAGCGGGGAGUAGCAAUACUCUGCCGACGACCGGCGCACGGGUGAGUAACGCGUAUCCAACCUACCCACGACUAGAGAAUAACCUUGCGAAAGUAAGACUAAUGCUCUAUAAUUUCCUUAGAUGGCAUCUGACGAGGAAUAAAGAUUUAUCGGUUAUGGAUGGGGAUGCGUCUGAUUAGCUUGUUGGCGGGGUAACGGCCCACCAAGGCAACGAUCAGUAGGGGUUCUGAGAGGAAGGUCCCCCACAUUGGAACUGAGACACGGCCCAAACUCCUACGGGAGGCAGCAGUGAGGAAUAUUGGUCAAUGGGCGGAAGCCUGAACCAGCCAAGUAGCGUGCAGGAUGACGGCCCUAUGGGUUGUAAACUGCUUUUAUACAGGAAUAAAGUUAGCCACGUGUGGUUAUUUGUAGGUACUGUAUGAAUAAGGACCGGCUAAUUCCGUGCCAGCAGCCGCGGUAAUACGGAAGGUCCAGGCGUUAUCCGGAUUUAUUGGGUUUAAAGGGAGCGUAGGCCGUCUGUUAAGCGUGUUGUGAAAUGUAGAUGCUCAACAUCUGAAUUGCAGCGCGAACUGGCAGACUUGAGUGUGCGCAACGUAGGCGGAAUUCGUGGUGUAGCGGUGAAAUGCUUAGAUAUCACGAAGAACUCCGAUUG